rnacentral:rRNA from 1 species
GUGGGGAAUCUUAGACAAUGGGGGAAACCCUGAUCUAGCCAUGCCGCGUGAGCGAUGAAGGCCUUAGGGUUGUAAAGCUCUUUCAGCUGGGAAGAUAAUGACGGUACCAGCAGAAGAAGCCCCGGCUAACUCCGUGCCAGCAGCCGCGGUAAUACGGAGGGGGCUAGCGUUGUUCGGAAUUACUGGGCGUAAAGCGCGCGUAGGCGGACCAGAAAGUUGGGGGUGAAAUCCCGGGGCUCAACCUCGGAACUGCCUUCAAAACUCCCAGUCUUGAGUUCGAGAGAGGUGAGUGGAAUUCCGGGUGUAGAGGUGAAAUUCGUAGAUAUUCGGAGGAACACCAGUGGCGAAGGCGGCUCACUGGCUCGAUACUGACGCUGAGGUGCGAAAGCGUGGGGAGCAAACAGGAUUAGAUACCCGUGUAGUCC